UACGUAGGAGACGAGCGUUGUCCGGAGUUACUGGGCGUAAAGGGUGCGCAGGUGGCGGCGCGCGUGGGGGGUGAAAUCGCCCGGCUUAACUGGGCGGGGGCCUUCCAGACGGCGUGGCUUGAGCAGCGGAGGGGGACGUGGAAUUCCGGGUGGAGCGGUGAAAUGCGUAGAGAUCCGGAGGAACACCGGUGGCGAAGGCGGGUCUCUGGGCCGGAUAUUGACGCUGAGGAGCGAAAGCGUGGGGAGCGAACAGG
rnacentral:rRNA from 1 species